UACAGAGGGUGCGAGCGUUGUUCGGAAUUACUGGGCGUAAAGCGCGCGCAGGCGGCUUUCUAAGUCCGUCGGUGAAAGACCGGGGCUCAACCCCGUGUCAGCCAUGGAUACUGGGAGGCUGGAGACAGGUAGAGGCAAGCGGAAUUCCGGGUGUAGCGGUGGAAUGCGUAGAGAUCCGGAAGAACACCGGAGGCGAAGGCGGCUUGCUGGACCUGGUCUGACGCUGAGGCGCGAAAGCCAGGGGAGCAAACGGG
rnacentral:rRNA from 1 species